AACUUUGACUUUGUUUGACUUCCGGCCUGUCGAGAUGAGUCGCUUAUUCAGGGAGGGAUGAGAUGUUUCUUAAUAUGGAUCAAAGUUGUUAAAAUUAGUCAAUUACAUUUACAAAAUGCAAACGCUACAGCAAGGCGUUUGUGAGAAAAAUGGAUGAAGAAAUUAUAACAUCUUUUUCCACAUUGCAUUACAACUACAAAGCUGACGCUGGAUUGCUAAAUUAGUUUAUUUUCAUUGAAAUAGAAUGGCUGGUUAGCUAUCUAGCAAUAGUCUUCUGUCUAGACUCUAGCCUGUAACUAAUGGUUGUUACGUUGUAGAACAGAACAAUAGUCAUUUGUACUUGUCAUUUGUUUGAGACUAACAUUAGUUAGAAAAUAAUUGUUUACUUUGUGUAUAUUUGUUGUAUAAUUGGUUGGCUUUGCCAGUUAGCAAGCUGAGAUUGAUUUGCUCAAAUUGGCUAACUUAGCUAUUAGCUAAUGUUUUAAGAGAAACAGGCUAGCUCCUUGCAGAAUCUAGAGUAGAGAAUGUGGAAUAAGAUGUGUCUGUUGCAGUGCCCAGACGAGGUGAGAGCAAACUGCUACAGAGAUAAAGAGGAAUCUCCAAAUGCCAUGUUGAACGAGCACCAGGGAUGAAGGAGGGGGAGGAAAACAGACUGCUUCUUUCUCCCACACCUUCACCAAGUCAUACAAUGUUUGCUUCAUGAAUAAUUGUUACAUCUGAAAUAAAUACAUUGUUAUUUUAGUAUAUUCUGUUUCUAAUGUUUUUUUUAAUGCUGGAUGUGAGUAAUUUAGCAGGUCUAAAGUAUAAUGUAUUGUUUUGGAACAUUUAAGUAUCUAUUCAGUCAAAACUCACUUGUUAUUUUAUGUUUGCUAAAAUGUUUUGUACUGAAAAUUAAUAAGCUAUUUUCCAAAAAUUG